AACGAACGCUGGCGGCAUGCCUAACACAUGCAAGUCGAACGAGACCUUCGGGUCUAGUGGCGCACGGGUGCGUAACGCGUGGGAACCUGCCCUUAUGUUCGGAAUAACUCCCCGAAAGGGGUGCUAAUACCGGAUAAUGUCUUCGGACCAAAGAUUUAUCGCCUUUGGAUGGGCCCGCGUUGGAUUAGCUAGUUGGUAGGGUAAAAGCCUACCAAGGCGACGAUCCAUAGCUGGUCUGAGAGGAUGAUCAGCCACACUGGGACUGAGACACGGCCCAGACUCCUACGGGAGGCAGCAGUGGGGAAUAUUGGAGAAUGGGCGAAAGGCUGAUACAGCAAUGCCGCGUGAGUGAUGAAGGCCUUAGGGUUGUAAAGCUCUUUUAACCGGGAUGAUAAUGACAGUACCGGGAGAAUAAGCUCCGGCUAACUACGUG
rnacentral:rRNA from 1 species